UGGGGGAUAUUGCACAAUGGGGGAAACCCUGAUGCAGCGACGCCGCGUGGGUGAAGGAGCACUUCGGUGCGUAAAGCCCUAUCGGCAGGGAAGAAAAGGGGGAAACCCCAGACGGUACCUGACUAAGAAGCCCCGGCUAACUACGUGCCC
rnacentral:rRNA from 1 species